rnacentral:rRNA from 1 species
AGGACGAACGCUGGCGGCGUGCUUAACACAUGCAAGUCGAACGGUAAGGCCCUUCGGGGUACACGAGUGGCGAACGGGUGAGUAACACGUGGGUGAUCUGCCCUGCACUUCGGGAUAAGCUUGGGAAACUGGGUCUAAUACCGGAUAUGACUACGAAUCGCAUGGUUUGUGGUGGAAAGCUUUUGCGGUGUGGGAUGGGCCCGCGGCCUAUCAGCUUGUUGGUGGGGUGAUGGCCUACCAAGGCGACGACGGGUAGCCGGCCUGAGAGGGUGUCCGGCCACACUGGGACUGAGAUACGGCCCAGACUCCUACGGGAGGCAGCAGUGGGGAAUAUUGCACAAUGGGCGCAAGCCUGAUGCAGCGACGCCGCGUGAGGGAUGACGGCCUUCGGGUUGUAAACCUCUUUCAGUAUCGACGAAGCGCAAGUGACGGUAGGUACAGAAGGAAGGACCGGCCGAACUACGUGCCAGCAGCCGCGGUA